CCGCCGGCGACCGGCGCACGGGUGAGUAACACGUAUGCAACCUGGCCGUGACAGAUGGAUAACCGGGAGAAAUCCCGCCUAAUACAACAUAAUGCCGGGAGGGGACAUCCCCUGCCGGCCAAAGGGGGCGACCCCGGUCACGGAUGGGCAUGCGGCGCAUUAGGUAGUUGGUGGGCAACGGCCCACCAAGCCGACGAUGCGUAGGGGUUCUGAGAGGAACGGUCCCCCACAUUGGAACUGAGACACGGUCCAAACUCCUACGGAAGGCAGCAG
rnacentral:rRNA from 1 species